ACGACGUUGGCGGCGUGCUUAAUACAUGCAAGUCAACUGAAGCACCGGUAGUAAUACUGGUGUGGAGGUGGCGCACGGGUGAGUAACACGUAGGUAAUCUGCCUUCAGGUCUGACAUAACCCCGAGAAAUCGGGGCUAAUAGCAGAUGAUGCAGCGGCUUGACAUCAAGACAGUUGUUAAAGCUUCGGCGCCUGAAGAUGAGCCUGCGUCUGAUUAGCUAGUUGGCGGAGUAAUGGCCCACCAAGGCUACGAUCAGUAACUGGUCUGAGAGGAUGAUCAGUCACACUGGAACUGAGACACGGUCCAGACUCCUACGGGAGGCAGCAGUAAGGAAUAUUGCUCAAUGGGAGAAAUCCUGAAGCAGCAACGCCGCGUGAGGGAUGAAGGGCUUUUGCUCGUAAACCUCUGUAGUGAGGGAAAAAAUUUCCACUCUGUGGAAUAUGAUGGUACCUCAAAAGUAAGCCCCGGCUAACUACGUG
rnacentral:rRNA from 1 species